CCUACGGGAGGCAGCAGUGAGGAAUAUUGGUCAAUGGACGAGAGUCUGAACCAGCCAAGUAGCGUGAAGGAUGACUGCCCUAUGGGUUGUAAACUUCUUUUAUAUGGGAAUAAAAUGUUCCACGUGUGGGAUUUUGUAUGUACCAUAUGAAUAAGGAUCGGCUAACUCCGUGCCAGCAGCCGCGGUAAUACGGAGGAUCCGAGCGUUAUCCGGAUUUAUUGGGUUUAAAGGGAGCGUAGGUGGAUUGUUAAGUCAGUUGUGAAAGUUUGCGGCUCAACCGUAAAAUUGCAGUUGAAACUGGCAGUCUUGAGGACAGUAGAGGUGGGCGGAAUUCGUGGUGUAGCGGUGAAAUGCUGAGAUAUCACGAAGAACUCCGAUUGCGAAGGCAGUUCACUGGACUGCAACUGACACUGAGGCUCGAAAGUGUGGGUAUCAAACAGGAUUAGAUACCCGAGUAGUC
rnacentral:rRNA from 1 species